CAACCAAGCUUCUCACUAGCACAUCCAAGCCAAGGCCUGAUCCUAUGAUGGAAAACUGGAAAACUCUCCAUCUACACGUGAUUAAACCUCUCCUGGCACAAGAACAGCCUGCUAGUAAAUGCCUGUCACUGGGGAAAGCCAUUCUACAGUCUCUGCCUUGCAAUGUUACCGAAAAUGGUCAAAAUAAUUUAUGUCUUCAAAUGAUCCCGUUUUG
rnacentral:lncRNA from 1 species